CCCCGCCGCCUCCCAUCGAAGGGCGGAGCCGCUCCUCUCUGCGCUUCCGCCUCGUUUCUUCUCUGUAGAUAGAUGUGGAUUAGUGGCAUGUGAUUUGUUGUGAAACAUCUGAAUUGCCGAUGAUGCUGUGCCCAACAUUUGGAGGUGCAGAUGGCUCUAGGAUCCUGUUUACAGGAUGAACCUACCUGGAGGCGCUGUAUCCACAUGACAUUGAUGGGAAAGUCUGAAUUUCAGA